rnacentral:rRNA from 1 species
UGGGGAAUAUUGGGCAAUGGGCGCAAGCCUGACCCAGCAACGCCGCGUGAGGGAAGAAGGUUUUCGGAUCGUAAACCUCUGUUGCAGGGGACGAGCAGUAGACGGUACCCUGCGAGGAAGCUCCGGCUAACUACGUGCCAGCAGCCGCGGUAAUACGUAGGGAGCAAGCGUUGUCCGGAAUGACUGGGCGUAAAGGGCGCGUAGGUGGUUUUGUAAGUCUGGAGUGAAACCCCCGUUUUUAAGGCGGGGCCUGCUUUGGAGACUGCAGGACUUGAGUGAUGGAGAGGAUAGCGGAAUUCCCGGUGUAGCGGUGAAAUGCGUAGAGAUCGGGAGGAACACCAGUGGCGAAGGCGGCUAUCUGGACAUAGACUGACACUGAGGCGCGAAAGCGUGGGGAGCAAACAGG